GUUAAGCGACUAAGCGUACACGGUGGAUGCCCUGGCAGUCAGAGGCGAUGAAGGACGUGCUAAUCUGCGAUAAGCGUCGGUAAGGUGAUAUGAACCGUUAUAACCGGCGAUUUCCGAAUGGGGAAACCCAGUGUGUUUCGACACACUAUCAUUAACUGAAUCCAUAGGUUAAUGAGGCGAACCGGGGGAACUGAAACAUCUAAGUACCCCGAGGAAAAGAAAUCAACCGAGAUUCCCCCAGUAGCGGCGAGCGAACGGGGAGCAGCCCAGAGCCUGAAUCAGUGUGUGUGUUAGUGGAAGCGUCUGGAAAGGCGCGCGAUACAGGGUGACAGCCCCGUACACAAAAAUGCACAUGCUGUGAGCUCGAUGAGUAGGGCGGGACACGUGGUAUCCUGUCUGAAUAUGGGGGGACCAUCCUCCAAGGCUAAAUACUCCUGACUGACCGAUAGUGAACCAGUACCGUGAGGGAAAGGCGAAAAGAACCCCGGCGAGGGGAGUGAAAAAGAACCUGAAACCGUGUACGUACAAGCAGUGGGAGCCUCUUUUAUGGGGUGACUGCGUACCUUUUGUAUAAUGGGUCAGCGACUUAUAUUCUGUAGCAAGGUUAACCGAAUAGGGGAGCCGAAGGGAAACCGAGUCUUAACUGGGCGUUAAGUUGCAGGGUAUAGACCCGAAACCCGGUGAUCUAGCCAUGGGCAGGUUGAAGGUUGGGUAACACUAACUGGAGGACCGAACCGACUAAUGUUGAAAAAUUAGCGGAUGACUUGUGGCUGGGGGUGAAAGGCCAAUCAAACCGGGAGAUAGCUGGUUCUCCCCGAAAGCUAUUUAGGUAGCGCCUCGUGAAUUCAUCUCCGGGGGUAGAGCACUGUUUCGGCAAGGGGGUCAUCCCGACUUACCAACCCGAUGCAAACUGCGAAUACCGGAGAAUGUUAUCACGGGAGACACACGGCGGGUGCUAACGUCCGUCGUGAAGAGGGAAACAACCCAGACCGCCAGCUAAGGUCCCAAAGUCAUGGUUAAGUGGGAAACGAUGUGGGAAGGCCCAGACAGCCAGGAUGUUGGCUUAGAAGCAGCCAUCAUUUAAAGAAAGCGUAAUAGCUCACUGGUCGAGUCGGCCUGCGCGGAAGAUGUAACGGGGCUAAACCAUGCACCGAAGCUGCGGCAGCGACGCUUAUGCGUUGUUGGGUAGGGGAGCGUUCUGUAAGCCUGUGAAGGUGUGCUGUGAGGCAUGCUGGAGGUAUCAGAAGUGCGAAUGCUGACAUAAGUAACGAUAAAGCGGGUGAAAAGCCCGCUCGCCGGAAGACCAAGGGUUCCUGUCCAACGUUAAUCGGGGCAGGGUGAGUCGACCCCUAAGGCGAGGCCGAAAGGCGUAGUCGAUGGGAAACAGGUUAAUAUUCCUGUACUUGGUGUUACUGCGAAGGGGGGACGGAGAAGGCUAUGUUGGCCGGGCGACGGUUGUCCCGGUUUAAGCGUGUAGGCUGGUUUUCCAGGCAAAUCCGGAAAAUCAAGGCUGAGGCGUGAUGACGAGGCACUACGGUGCUGAAGCAACAAAUGCCCUGCUUCCAGGAAAAGCCUCUAAGCAUCAGGUAACAUCAAAUCGUACCCCAAACCGACACAGGUGGUCAGGUAGAGAAUACCAAGGCGCUUGAGAGAACUCGGGUGAAGGAACUAGGCAAAAUGGUGCCGUAACUUCGGGAGAAGGCACGCUGAUAUGUAGGUGAAGCGACUUGCUCGUGGAGUUGAAAUCAGUCGAAGAUACCAGCUGGCUGCAACUGUUUAUUAAAAACACAGCACUGUGCAAACACGAAAGUGGACGUAUACGGUGUGACGCCUGCCCGGUGCCGGAAGGUUAAUUGAUGGGGUCAGCGCAAGCGAAGCUCUUGAUCGAAGCCCCGGUAAACGGCGGCCGUAACUAUAACGGUCCUAAGGUAGCGAAAUUCCUUGUCGGGUAAGUUCCGACCUGCACGAAUGGCGUAAUGAUGGCCAGGCUGUCUCCACCCGAGACUCAGUGAAAUUGAACUCGCUGUGAAGAUGCAGUGUACCCGCGGCAAGACGGAAAGACCCCGUGAACCUUUACUAUAGCUUGACACUGAACAUUGAGCCUUGAUGUGUAGGAUAGGUGGGAGGCUU
rnacentral:rRNA from 1 species